AUUUAUAUAGUUUAUUAAAACAUUAUAUUUUCAAUGUAAAGAUAAAAUUUUAUAUUUUUAUAAAUA
rnacentral:tRNA from 1 species